rnacentral:rRNA from 1 species
GUUCCUUCGGGACGCAUAGACAGGUGGUGCAUGGUUGUCGUCAGCUCGUGUCGUGAGAUGUUCGGUUAAGUCCGGCAACGAGCGCAACCCUUAACGGCAGUUGGCAAUAUUAAGUUAGCAACUCUGCCGUGACUGCCGUGGAUAACACGGAGGAAGGUGGGGAUGACGUCAAAUCAUCAUGCCCCUUACGUCUUGGGCUACACACGUGCUACAAUGGGCGCUACAAAGAGCAGCGAAAUUGCAAAAUGGAGCAAAUCUCAAAAAAGCGUUCUCAGUUCGGAUUGAGGGCUGCAACCCGCCCUCAUGAAGUCGGAGUUGCUAGUAAUCCCGAAUCAGAAUGUCGGGGUGAAUGCGUUCCCGGGUCUUGUACACACCGCCCGUCACGCCAUGGGAGUCGGGGGUACCCGAAGUCGGUGAGCUAACCGCAAGGAGGCAACCGCCUAAGGUAAAACCGAUGACUGGGGUGAAGUCGUAACAAGGUAGCCGUAUCGGAAGGUGCGGCUGGAUC